rnacentral:rRNA from 1 species
GUGCACCUUUUUUCCUUUCAUUUAGUUUUUUUGAAUAAAAAUUACUUUUAAAUUCUGAUUUCCAUUUUUUUUUAAAUUUGUUCCUUAAUUUUUUUUUAUUGCAACCCAUUAAUUCUUAAUAAAUAGGCUUUACCUUGACCUGACUUUAGAGGGAGUGGUCUUUGAAAUUUAAACUAAAAAAUUUAAGUUGGACGGAGGUAUAAAGGCUUUUAUGUUAAGUGAAAUUUAUCGUGUAUUGUCGAUUAGUAAACAGGUUUCUCUAAUAGUUUAAAAGGCCGCCAGUAUGUUUUGGUUUUUAAAACUAUAUUACCAUUUUUUGUUAUUCAUAAUAGGGUAUCUAAUCCU